UAGCCUAGUGGUUAAGGCUAUGGAUCGCCAAUCCGGAGACGGCGGGUUCGAUUCCUGU
rfam:Aedes albopictus isolate Foshan contig118617, whole genome shotgun sequence.